AUAUCAAUAAGCGGAGGAAAAGAAACCAACAGGGAUUGCCUCAGUAACGGCGAGUGAAGCGGCAACAGCUCAAAUUUGAAAUCUGGCUUCCUUUGGGUGCCCGAAUUGUAAUUUGUAGAGGGCUUCUCGGGUGCGACACCGGUCUAAGUUCCUUGGAACAGGGCGUCAUAGAGGGUGAGAAUCCCGUACGUGACCGGCCGUCAAUCCCAUGUGAGAUCCCUUCGAAGAGUCGAGUUGUUUGGGAAUGCAGCUCAAAUCGGGUGGUAAAUUUCAUCUAAAGCUAAAUAUUGGCCAGAGACCGAUAGCGCACAAGUA
rnacentral:rRNA from 1 species